rnacentral:tRNA from 1 species
GCGCUCGUAGCUCAUCUGGAUAGAGCACCGGUUUCCUAAACCGGGGGUAGCAGGUUCGAGUCCUGCCGAGCGCACCA